AUACUUACCUGGCAUGGGAGAUGCCAUGAUCACAAAAAUGCUUUUCCCAGGGCGAGACUCAUCCUUUGCACUCCGAGUGUGCUGACAUCUGCAAUUUCCUUAAAUGUGGGAAACUGAACUACAUAAUUCAUGGUGGUAGGGGGCAGCAUUUGCACUCUCCCCUG